rnacentral:rRNA from 1 species
AUUGAACGCUGGCGGCAGGCUUAACACAUGCAAGUCGAACGGUAACAUAAAGAAGCUUGCUUCUUUGAUGACGAGUGGCGGACGGGUGAGUAAUGCUUGGGAAUCUAGCUUAUGGAGGGGGAUAACUACGGGAAACUGUAGCUAAUACCGCGUAAUAUCGAAAGAUUAAAGUGUGGGACCUUCGGGCCACAUGCCAUAGGAUGAGCCCAAGUGGGAUUAGGUAGUUGGUGAGGUAAAGGCUCACCAAGCCGACGAUCUCUAGCUGGCCCGAGAGGAUGACCAGCCACACUGGGACUGAGACACGGCCCAGACUCCUACGGGAGGCAGCAGUGGGGAAUAUUGCGCAAUGGGGGCAACCCUGACGCAGCCAUGCCGCGUGAAUGAAGAAGGCCUUCGGGUUGUAAAGUUCUUUCGGUAGCGAGGAAGGCAUUUAGUUUAAUAGACUAGGUGAUUGACGUUAACUACAGAAGAAGCACCGGCUAACUCCGUGCCAGCAGCCGCGGUAAUACGGAGGGUGCGAGCGUUAAUCGGAAUAACUGGGCGUAAAGGGCACGCAGGCGGUGACUUAAGUGAGGUGUGAAAGCCCCGGGCUUAACCUGGGAAUUGCAUUUCAUACUGGGUCGCUAGAGUACUUUAGGGAGGGGUAGAAUUCCACGUGUAGCGGUGAAAUGCGUAGAGAUGUGGAGGAAUACCGAAGGCGAAGGCAGCCCCUUGGGAAUGUACUGACGCUCAUGUGCGAAAGCGUGGGGAGCAAACAGG